rnacentral:lncRNA from 1 species
UCCUGAUAGCUCGGGUGAUUUCUGUGCUGCUUCAAAUGGGCUUUGGCAGGAAAAUUCUGAGGGAGCCAAAUAUGCAUCUGGGUUUCACCAUGCUCCUCAUAAUUCUAGUAGUUUCUUUGAUGCAUCAAAUGUGCUUUGGCAGGAAUCUGAGGGAACCAAAAACACAUCUGGGUUUCACAAUGCUCCUGAUAAUUCUAGUGGUUUCUUUGAUGCUUCAAAUGGGCUUUGGCAAGAAUCUAGGGGAUCUGGGUUUCACAUUGCCUCUGGUAAUUCUAGGGAUUUGUUUGAUGCAUCAAAAGGGCUUUGGCAGGAACCUGAGGGAGCCAAACACGUAAGUGGGUCUCACAAUGGUCCAGAUAGUUCUAGUGAUUUCUUUGAUGCAUCAAAUGAGCUUUGGCAGGAAAAUCCUGAGGCAUCAAAACAAGUAUCUGGGC